rnacentral:rRNA from 1 species
UGGGGAAUUUUGCGCAAUGGGCGAGAGCCUGACGCAGCAACGCCGCGUGAGUGAUGAAGGCCUUCGGGUCGUAAAGCUCUGUCAGAGGGAAAGAACAACCUGUCGGUUAAUACCCGGCGGGCCUGACGGUACCAUAUGAAUAAGCACCGGCUAACUCCGUGCCAGCAGCCGCGGUAAUACGGAGGGUGCAAGCGUUAUCCGGAUUCACUGGGUUUAAAGGGUGCGUAGGUGGGUCGGUAAGUCAGUGGUGAAAUCCCCGAGCUUAACUUGGGAACUGCCAUUGAUACUAUCAGUCUUGAAUACCGUGGAGGUCGGCGGAAUAUGUCAUGUAGCGGUGAAAUGCUUAGAUAUGACAUAGAACACCAAUUGCGAAGGCAGCUGGCUACGCGGAUAUUGACACUG